rnacentral:rRNA from 1 species
GAUGAACGCUGGCGGCGUGCCUAAUACAUGCAAGUCGAGCGAACAGACGCGGCGCUUGCUUCUCUGACGUUAGCGGCGGACGGGUGAGUAACACGUGGAUAACCUACCUAUAAUACUGGGAUAACUUCGGAACACCGGCGCUAAUACCGGAGAAUAUAUUGCACCGCGGGGGUGGAUGGAGAAAGACGGUUGUGCUGGCACGUAUAGCUGGUUCCGAGCCGGUUUAGCUAGUAGGUAAGGUAACGGCUUACCAAGGCAACGAUGCGUAGCCGACCUGAGUGGGUGAUCGGCCACACUGGAACUGAGACACGGUCCAGACUCCUACGGGAGGCAGCAGUAGGGAAUCUUCCGCAAUGGGCGAAAGCCUGACGGAGCAACGCCGCGUGAGUGAUGAAGGUCUUCGGAUCGUAAAACUCUGUUAUGAGGUAAGAACAAAUGUGUAAGUAACCAUGCACGUCUUGACGGUACCGAAUCAGAAAGCCACGGCUAACUACGUG